rnacentral:rRNA from 1 species
GACGAACGCUGGCGGCGUGCCUAAUACAUGCAAGUAGAACGCUGAAGGAGGAGCUUGCUUCUCUGGAUGAGUUGCGAACGGGUGAGUAACGCGUAGGUAACCUGCCUGGUAGCGGGGGAUAACUAUUGGAAACGAUAGCUAAUACCGCAUAAUAUUGACUAUUGCAUGAUAGUCAGUUGAAAGGUGCAACUGCACCACUACCAGAUGGACCUGCGUUGUAUUAGCUAGUUGGUGGGGUAACGGCUCACCAAGGCGACGAUACAUAGCCGACCUGAGAGGGUGAUCGGCCACCCUGGGACUGAGACACGGCCCAGACUCCUACGGGAGGCAGCAGUAGGGAAUCUUCGGCAAUGGACGGAAGUCUGACCGAGCAACGCCGCGUGAGUGAAGAAGGUUUUCGGAUCGUAAAGCUCUGUUGUAAGAGAAGAACGAGUGUGAGAGUGGAAAGCUCACACUGUGACGGUAUCUUACCAGAAAGGGACGGCUAACUACGUG